CCCUGGCUCAGAUUGAACGCUGGCGGCAGGCCUAACACAUGCAAGUCGAGCGGCAGCACGGGUACUUGUACCUGGUGGCGAGCGGCGGACGGGUGAGUAAUGCCUAGGAAUCUGCCUGGUAGUGGGGGAUAACGCUCGGAAACGGACGCUAAUACCGCAUACGUCCUACGGGAGAAAGCAGGGGACCUUCGGGCCUUGCGCUAUCAGAUGAGCCUAGGUCGGAUUAGCUAGUUGGUGAGGUAAUGGCUCACCAAGGCGACGAUCCGUAACUGGUCUGAGAGGAUGAUCAGUCACACUGGAACUGAGACACGGUCCAGACUCCUACGGGAGGCAGCAGUGGGGAAUAUUGGACAAUGGGCGAAAGCCUGAUCCAGCCAUGCCGCGUGUGUGAAGAAGGUCUUCGGAUUGUAAAGCACUUUAAGUUGGGAGGAAGGGCAGUUACCUAAUACGUAUCUGUUUUGACGUUACCGACAGAAUAAGCACCGGC
rnacentral:rRNA from 1 species